CUAGCAUAUCAAUAAGCGGAGGAAAAGAAACCAACAGGGAUUGCCCUAGUAACGGCGAGUGAAGCGGCAACAGCUCAAAUUUGAAAUCUGGCUCCCUUGGGAGUCCGAGUUGUAAUUUGUAGAGGGUGCUUUGGUGUUAGCUGUGGUCUAAGUCCCUUGGAACAGGGCGUCACAGAGGGUGAGAAUCCCGUACGUGGCCAGCAGUUUUCACCUUGUAAAGCCCCUUCGACGAGUCGAGUUGUUUGGGAAUGCAGCUCUAAAUGGGAGGUAAAUUUCUUCUAAAGCUAAAUACUGGCCAGAGACCGAUAGCGCACAAGUAGAGUGAUCGAAAGAUGAAAAGCACUUUGGAAAGAGAGUCAAAAAGCACGUGAAAUUGUUGAAAGGGAAGCGCUUGCAGCCAGACUUGCCCGUAGUUGCUCAUCUAGGCCUUGUGUCUAGUGCACUCUUCUGCGGGCAGGCCAGCAUCAGUUCAGGCGGUCGGAUAAAGACUCUGGGAAUGUGGCUCCUCUCGGGGAGUGUUAUAGCCCAGGGUGUCAUGCGGCCAGCUUGGACUGAGGUCCGCGCUUCUGCUAGGAUGCUGGCGUAAUGGCUGUAAGCGGCCCGUCUUGAAACACGGACCAAGGAGUCUAACAUCUAUGCGAGUGUUUGGGUGUCAAGCCCGAGCGCGUAAUGAAAGUGAACGGAGGUGGGAACCCCUUGGGGUGCACCAUCGACCGAUCCUGAUGUCUUCGGAUGGAUUUGAGUAAGAGCAUAGCUGUUGGGACCCGAAAGAUGGUGAACUAUGCCUGAAUAGGGUGAAGCCAGAGGAAACUCUGGUGGAGGCUCGCAGCGGUUCUGACGUGCAAAUCGAUCGUCAAAUUUGGGCAUAGGGGCGAAAGACUAAUCGAACUAUCUAGUAGCU
rnacentral:rRNA from 1 species